rnacentral:rRNA from 1 species
AACGAACGCUGGCGGCAGGCUUAACACAUGCAAGUCGAACGCCCCGCAAGGGGAGUGGCAGACGGGUGAGUAACGCGUGGGAAUCUACCCAUCUCUGCGGAAUAGCUCUGGGAAACUGGAAUUAAUACCGCAUACGCCCUACGGGGGGAAGAUUUAUCGGGGAUGGAUGAGCCCGCGUUGGAUUAGCUAGUUGGUGGGGUAGAGGCCUACCAAGGCGACGAUACAUAGCUGGUCUGAGAGGAUGAUCAGCCACAUUGGGACUGAGACACGGCCCAAACUCCUACCGGAGGCAGCAGUGGGGAAUAUUGGACAAUGGGCGAAAGCCUGUUCCAGCCAUGCCGCGUGAGUGAUGAAGGCCUUAGGGUUGUAAAGCUCUUUCACCGAUGAAGAUAAUGACGGUAGUCGGAGAAGAAGCCCCGGCUAACUUCGUGCCAGCCGCCGCAGUAA